UGUAAUCUUUUGGUUGUCCAAUAUCCAUCCAGAAACCCGGUAAAACCAUCGCGUAUAGAAGCUUUUCAGAUGCGAUUUUCGGGAAAGUUUCUUUUUCGAUUGAAGUGGGUUUUAAUUGGAUUCUGUCAAGAACCGAAGGGUUUAAAAGGUAAAUUCCAGCAUUGAUUUUGUUACCCACAAAAACUUUUGGUUUUUCAACGAAUUUUUCGACUAACCCGGUUGAUUCUUCCAUGACUACAACACCGUAUUUUGAAGGCUCAUCCACUUUGGUUACCAUGAUUGAAGCUUCUCCACCAUGGGAUUUGUGAAAUGCAAUCAUUUGUUUCAAAGGGUAUUCACUGAUGACAUCACUGUUGAGAACAAAAAAAGGUUCACCCGAAUCAUCGAGUAGUUUGUCCCGGGCU
rnacentral:lncRNA from 1 species